UACAGGGGGUGCAAACGUUGCUCGGAAUCAUUGGGCGUAAAGCGCACGUAGGCGGUUCGUUAUGUCGGAUGUGAAAGCCCUUGGCUUAACCGAGGAAGCGCAUCCGAAACUGGCGAGCUAGAGUACGAAAGAGGAUCGCGGAAUUCCCGGUGUAGAGGUGAAAUUCGUAGAUAUCGGGAGGAACACCGGUGGCGAAGGCGGCGAUCUGGGUCGAUACUGACGCUGAGGUGCGAAAGCGUGGGGAGCAAACAGG
rnacentral:rRNA from 1 species